rnacentral:rRNA from 1 species
GAUGAACGCUGGCGGCGUGCCUAAUACAUGCAAGUCGAGCGAACAGAUGAGGAGCUUGCUCCUCUGACGUUAGCGGCGGACGGGUGAGUAACACGUGGAUAACCUACCUAUAAGACUGGGAUAACUUCGGGAAACCGGAGCUAAUACCGGAUAAUAUAUCGAACCGCAUUGUUCACUAGUGAAAGACGGUUUUGCUGUCACUUAUAGAUGGAUCCGCGCCGCAUUAGCUAGUUGGUAAGGUAACGGCUUACCAAGGCAACGAUGCGUAGCCGACCUGAGAGGGUGAUCGGCCACACUGGAACUGAGACACGGUCCAGACUCCUACGGGAGGCAGCAGUAGGGAAUCUUCCGCAAUGGGCGAAAGCCUGACGGAGCAACGCCGCGUGAGUGAUGAAGGUCUUCGGAUCGUAAAACUCUGUUAUUAGGGAAGAACAAAUGUGUAAGUAACUAUGCACGUCUUGACGGUACCUAAUCAGAAAGCCACGGCUAACUACGUG